GGGGCUGAACAGAGGAACGGCAGGGGUGUAGGGUGUCUCGAGCCCAGUGUGAACAGCUGAGAGGUGUGAUUUCACAGGCUGGCUCCCCCCUGUCAGGGCCCUGAUUGGGCCGGACAGGAGGCGCAGGAGAGGCCCGGGCUUCUAAAGGACACCAACAGGUGGGAGGCCGCUUUGGAGGGGGGCACUCCUGGCGGGAUAGAAAAGGCCGAUCUGCAAGGCCUGUAGUGGGCACAAUCCACCGGCCAGAUAUGGAGGAGGAUGGUUGAUCGCAGGAUAGCUGAGGCGAAGAAAGGAGAGGGGCAGGAUGAAGUUGGGGACUGGUUCUCAGGAAGCUGAGGGGUAGUUUGAAAUGAGUUUGUGCUUUUAAUGGGUGGAAAGGGCAACUUCAGGGAAAAGGUUGGUCUGAGAUUUAUCUGGUAGCUUUUCCUUUUGUUAGUUAAUAUAAAAGUUUCAGAUUUGACUUCAGCAAAUGGGCAUCUAGGUUCUCUAGGUUCACAAGGUUUUAACAAAUCUUCUAGAUUAGGAUGUUGUAGACUUUUGUCCUCAGUUUCUUUCAUUUGCAGCACUGUGUGAGUAAAAUCAGGUGUCAAACCAGUUGUUAAAUGUUUUCUGCAAGUUUACGAUAGACACAGAGCUCCAUGUCGGAGCCUGACACCUCUGUCAGGUGAGCGGGAAGCUGAGGUGUAAUACAGGAAAGAAUCAGGAAAUUUGGUGACUUGACAUGUGUCUCUCAGAGGAGCCGUCACACUCCAAUCAAAGUGAAAGGGCAAGUCUUUCAAAUGGCCAUUUGGUUCGGAGCUGGUUGACAUAGCAAGUGGUUAAAUUUUUCACGGAAGUCACCACUAGACAGUGUAGGAGAUGCCGGCUGAACCAAGUGUGGCCUCAAGCUCAACACCAGCUACUCAGCACAAGAAGAACACAAGAGGAGGCACAACACAUUUCACUGAAGGUAAGGCUGAAGAGGACAUGACGGCCUGACUGCUUGGAGAUGAAGCCCACCCUCUAUUUCUGCUCUUUCUCGUCCCUCAUUUUCCUUAUUUUCUAUGUCCUCUACCCCUGUAACCCUUCCUCUCCCCCCUCCUGCCCUCCCUCUCACUCUGCCUCUUGAGGCUGAAGCAACACACCUUGCUGUGGCUGGUCAAACGGAACCAAGUCAGGUGUUUCUGUGAGGUUUGGUCCCCUUCAACCAGCUACUGCGUCGUGAAUUCAGUCAGCAGACACCAGCGUGGAAUCAAAGACACAGUGGCGUUGUGGUGUAUGCUGUAUAUUUUGGAGGUGGUAGUCGGUUAACAAUGAUAGACAGAUAGAUAGUUUCUUUUCUUCAGUGGUUUGUUGUUGGUUGUUUCCUGUAUGACAAUGGAUGUUAAUAAAAAUAUUGCUGACAAUA